GAUGGGUGCCAGUGGGAAAACCUGGUAAAUCUCUGAUUGGAUGAAGCCAUUUUUGGCUUUUGAACUGGAAAUUAGGGCUAUAGUUCUUUCAAUGUUUGGAUAGGCGGGAAGACUUUCACAGCACUAUGUAUUGCCCAAGCUGCGGAAAAGAGUUGGUUGAGCUGUCAACAAACUUUUGUAGCAGCUGUGGCAAGAGGAUUCAAGAAAUAUGUGUUGGAGCUACUCCAUGGGCUUCAAAUGGGACAGAGGUCAUUAAUAUCCCUGGGACACAAAGACCUUUUACCCUUGUUGCUUAUAAGGCUGAAGUUGGCAAGUCAUAUCAAAGGAUUACUGUUUUCAUCUGCAUGUAAAGGGACUUUGAAGAAGUUGGAAAUUUGUCAGACGUGUCCAACUCUGACCCAGAGAUUGUUAUUAAAAAAUCCUCAGAGUUUGAUCUUGCUGAUACACUGCCAUGUGAACCUCUGGAUGAAAGCAGUCCUUUACAAAAAGUGGCUGAAACAGAGUUAUACAUUUGAAUAACAGAAACAAUCCAGGCACCCCUGAAUGUCUCACUGUCCAGGGCUCCUGUUACAGAAACUAACCAACCUGUUUGAACCUAUUGUGAUUGAUGAGGAAGACGAUGUUGAAGAUCUUACUCAUGACACAGAGAAAAACCUGCCCACAGAAGAACCUGUGUUAGCAAUUUAAACAUUUUGUAUUCAAUUAACCAGCACCUGUUCCUGCACAUAAUCACAUUAUGCAAAGUUUGAUCAAUCAGUAAAGUUGUCAGAAUCUGUGCCAUGUUUGUCUGUUUGGUGCUAUUUCUGUUCUUAGCCUCUAGAUGGCGUUUGAACCGGAGGAGAGGUGACAGGUGUUCUCUAUCUCCUUGAUGAUCUGCUGAGGAGUAUUUAAGGAGGAGGCUGCCAGCAACUCACUGCCAGAGAAAAAGGAUACGAAAUGUCACCUGAACCUGACUUUGCCUUCAGGAUCGAACCCUGCCUGGAUUACCGUCUCCUGGGAAGAAGCUAUCCAGCUCCAUGAACCAAGACUCAAGCCUUUUGUUUCCUCAUUGGAUCUAACCAGCUGGCAGUCUCCUGAUUCCUUCGUGCUGUGGAUCUCACUCUGCGAACCCUGUCCACCCUCCUCCUUCUAUUGCACCAACUACAGAAACUCUUGGACCAUCAAUCAUCCUGGCACACCAGUGUUCACUGUCUCUGGUCCCACGAGUAAACAACCUUCUGGUCUCUCCACCCCCCUCUGGCGGAUCUCUCCCUCAAAUCAUUGGUGUCCCGGUUCCAGUCUCCUGCACAUGUCUACAUACUGUUAAUGAACUUCUU